rnacentral:piRNA from 1 species
UGAGCACAAGGGAUAACUGAUUUCAUAG